rnacentral:rRNA from 1 species
CAAGUGGAGCGACGAACCCUUCGGGGGGCAAAGCCGCGAACGGGUGAGUAACACGUGGGUAACCUGCCCCGAUGACUGGGACAACCCGGGGAAACCCGGGCUAAUACCGGAUGUGGUGCACACACUUAAGUGGGUGUAUCAAAGGUAGCUUCGGCUUCCGCAUCGGGAGGGGCCCGCGGCCCAUUAGCUUGUUGGUGAGGUAACGGCUCACCAAGGCUGCGAUGGGUAGCUGGUCUGAGAGGACGAUCAGCCACACUGGGACUGAGACACGGCCCAGACUCCUACGGGAGGCAGCAGUGGGGAAUCUUGCGCAAUGCGCGAAAGCGUGACGCAGCAACGCCGCGUGAGGGAAGACGGCCUUCGGGUUGUAAACCUCUUUCAGUGGGGACGAAGGCCGGCCGGUGAAUAGCCGUGUCGGUUGACGGUACCUUCAGAAGAAGCUCCGGCUAACUACGUGCCAGCAGCCGCGGUAAUACGUAGGGAGCAAGCGUUGUCCGGAAUCAUUGGGCGUAAAGCGCGCGUAGGCGGCCCGGUAAGUCCGUCGUGAAAGUCAAAGGCUCAACCUUUGAAUGUCGAUGGAUACUGCCGGGCUAGAGUCCGGAAGAGGCGAGUGGAAUUCCUGGUGUAGCGGUGGAAUGCGCAGAUAUCAGGAGGAACACCAAUAGCGAAGGCAGCUCGCUGGGACGGUACUGACGCUAAGGCGCGAAAGCGUGGGGAGCGAACAGGAUUAGAUACCCUGGUAGUCCACGCCGUAAACGAUGGGCACUAGGUGUGGGAGGUGUCGACUCCUCCCGUGCCGUCGCUAACGCAC